AAGGAAUAUUGGACAAUGGCGGAGACGCUGAUCCAGCUAUCCCGCGUGCAGGAUGACGGCCCUACGGGUUGUAAACUGCUUUAGACUGGGGCGAAAAAGUGGGAUUUAUCCUACAUUGACGGUACCAGUAAAAUAAGCACCGGCUAACUCCGUGCCAGCAGCCGCGGUAAUACGGAGGGUGCAAGCGUUAACCGGAAUCACUGGGUAUAAAGGGUGCGUAGGCGGCUUGUUAAGUCAGGAGUGAAAGGCCAUGGCUCAACUAUGGGAUUGCUUUUGAUACUGACGAGCUUGGAUUAGGACGAGGUUGGCGGAAUGUGGCAAGUAGCGGUGAAAUGCAUAGAUAUGCCAUAGAAUACCGAUUGCGAAGGCAGCUGACUAGACCUAUAUUGACGCUGAGGCACGAAAGCGUGGGGAGCGAAC
rnacentral:rRNA from 1 species